CCACAACUACAACCGCACUGGAAUGAGUUUAAGUCCAUAACGGCACUCAUGAUGGCGAGUCUAAGUCUAAUA
rfam:Carnobacterium inhibens subsp. gilichinskyi strain WN1359, complete genome.